rnacentral:rRNA from 1 species
GACGAACGCUGGCGGCGCGCCUAACACAUGCAAGUCGAACGGAGCUUGACUAACUGAAGUUUUCGGAUGGACGUCGGUUAAGCUUAGUGGCGAACGGGUGAGUAACGCGUGGGUAACCUGCCUUUUAGAGGGGGACAACAGUUGGAAACGACUGCUAAUACCGCAUAAGACCACGGUAUCGCAUGAUACAGUGAUCAAAGGAGCAAUCCGCUAAAAGAUGGGCCCGCGUCUGAUUAGAUAGUUGGUGGGGUAACGGCCUACCAAGUCGACGAUCAGUAGCCGGACUGAGAGGUUGAUCGGCCACAUUGGGACUGAGACACGGCCCAGACUCCUACGGGAGGCAGCAGUGGGGAAUAUUGCACAAUGGGGGAAACCCUGAUGCAGCGACGCCGCGUGAGGGAAGAAGGUAUUCGUAUUGUAAACCUCUGUCUUCGGGGACGAUAAUGACGGUACCCGAGGAGGAAGCACCGGCUAACUACGUGCCAGCCGCCGCGGUAAGAC